rnacentral:rRNA from 1 species
GUAGGGUGCAAGCGUUGUCCGGAAUUAUUGGGCGUAAAGAGCUCGUAGGCGGUUCGUCGCGUCGGCUGUGAAAACCCGGAGCUCAACUCCGGGCCUGCAGUCGAUACGGGCGGACUUGAGUGUUGCAGGGGAGACUGGAAUUCCUGGUGUAGCGGUGAAAUGCGCAGAUAUCAGGAGGAACACCGGUGGCGAAGGCGGGUCUCUGGGCAACUACUGACGCUGAGGAGCGAAAGCGUGGGGAGCGAACAGGAUUAGAUACCCUGGUAGUCCACGCCGUAAACGUUGGGCGCUAGGUGUGGGGGCCAUUCCACGGUCUCCGUGCCGCAGCUAACGCAUUAAGCGCCCCGCCUGGGGAGUACGGCCGCAAGGCUA